rnacentral:rRNA from 1 species
CGAACGGCAGCAUAGGAGCUUGCUCCUGAUGGCGAGUGGCGAACGGGUGAGUAAUAUAUCGGAACGUGCCCUAGAGUGGGGGAUAACUAGUCGAAAGACUAGCUAAUACCGCAUACGAUCUACGGAUGAAAGUGGGGGAUCGCAAGACCUCAUGCUCCUGGAGCGGCCGAUAUCUGAUUAGCUAGUUGGUGGGGUAAAAGCCUACCAAGGCAACGAUCAGUAGCUGGUCUGAGAGGACGACCAGCCACACUGGGACUGAGACACGGCCCAGACUCCUACGGGAGGCAGCAGUGGGGAAUUUUGGACAAUGGGGGCAACCCUGAUCCAGCAAUGCCGCGUGAGUGAAGAAGGCCUUCGGGUUGUAAAGCUCUUUUGUCAGGGAAGAAACGGUAGUAGCGAAUAACUAUUACUAAUGACGGUACCUGAAGAAUAAGCACCGGCUAACUACGUGCCAGCAGCCGCGGUAAUACGUAGGGUGCAAGCGUUAAUCGGAAUUACUGGGCGUAAAGCGUGCGCAGGCGGUUGUGUAAGUCAGAUGUGAAAUCCCCGGGCUCAACCUGGGAAUUGCAUUUGAGACUGCACGGCUAGAGUGUGUCAGAGGGGGGUAGAAUUCCACGUGUAGCAGUGAAAUGCGUAGAUAUGUGGAGGAAUACCGAUGGC